rnacentral:lncRNA from 10 species
UGUCUCCCAGGCUGGAGUGCAGUGGCGCGAUUUCCGCUCACUGCAAGCUCCGCCUCCCGGGUUGACGCCAUUCUCCUGCCUCAGCCUCCCGAGUAGCUGUAGCUGGGACUACAGGCGCCCGCCGCCACGCCCGGCUAAUUUUUUGUAUUUUUAGUGGACACGGGGUUUCACCGUGUUAGCCAGGAUGGUCUCUAUCUCCUGACCUCGUGACCCGCCCGCCUCGGCCUCCCAAAGUGCUGGGAUUACAGGCGUGAGCCACGGCGCCCGGCCUGACAUUUCUAAUAGUGCAUGUAUUAAGAUGAAGAAGGAGGAGGAUUGGAGAACUGAGUAAAGGAAGAGGAGGACGAAGAAAGAAAAAGAAACCGAGGGACCAUUUUAAAUAAAAGAUAAAUCAAGAGAAAACUGUCUUACCAGAUUGCAUUCCCCAAAGUGAGGGCAGUCCAGAGUGGCACACCAAAGUAUUUCUGAUGCCAGAACUUCACCAUCAGAGACAGCAGUCCUCUUCCCUGGCCUGGACAAGAUCCCCAAGGUACUCACAAUACUUCUCAUGGAUUGAGGCAUGAAAAGGUCUCCUGAUGAAGGACUCAAGUUGGUGGAGAAGCUGAUCGUCCACCUCGAUCUCACUUUUUCCAGUGUAGAAAUGAUGCUAGGCAUUGAAAAUUGUAAGAGGAGAGGAAUUAGACUCCCAUAUGCAAGAGGAAAGGAAUUAGACCAACAUUCAAAGAGAAGAAUGCUAAAGGAUUUGAAAAUAUAUUUUAAAACCACCAUAAAAAGCGUCACAAAGGAUAUAUUUUUGCACUCCGUAGAGAAUGUGACCUACAGGAUCCACUAGCAAAAGAAAUCUGACUGUUAGAGGUUAAAGGAACAGUAAAGAUCUAGUUCCACUUUUGAAUCCUGCAGAUGGGAAAUUUGAAACUUGGAGAGUUAGUGGUUUUCUCCAAGGUCACAUCAAGACAGAAGUCAAGCCAGGAUAAAAAUCAAGGGAAAAACAGUGACAUGGUGGGAGAAGUGUUCCCAAACUCUGAAUGCAAGCUGCUGAACAAGGUAUAGUACCAGGGACCAGGUUAACUCACCUGACUCAAACAACCAUAAAGCCAGAGGAAAUAUAUGAAAUUGUAGCAUCCAAGAUAUUUGGAUGCUGGUCAAUGAAAAAUAGUGAUCCCUGAAAGAUGGAAACAAAUGAGGGUCUCACUUUGUCACUAAGGCUGGAGUGUAGUGGCAUGAUCACUCAGCUCACCACACAGCCUCAUCCUCCCAGACUCAAGCAAUCCUCUCAUCGCAGCCUCCCAAGUAGCUAGGGCUACAGUUUGUUGUGGAAUGUCUUGCUUUGGAAUGAGUCUUUUGGACAGCAUAUCUCCACAAACUUCUCUCUAACUACCUGUUUUGCUGCACCCCACAAGUUUGGGUGACCUAGCAUGUGAUCCAUCUUGGAGAAUAUUCCAAGAGCAUUUGAGAAGAAUGUGCAUCUUGGCGCUGUUGGAUGGAGUGCUCUGGAUGUGUUAGGUUCAUUUGUUCUAUAGUGUUUUCAUGCAUGUUAUUUUUAUUAUUACCAGUACUCUAAGAUUUAUAAAACUUUAAAUUAGCUAAAAAGCAGUGAAAGACAGAGAUAACUUGAAAGGGUACAUUAGAUAGAAUGCUCGCUAAUCUUUUAACCCACUUCAAAUGUUUUUUUUUUCUUGAGACAGUCUCCCUUUGUUGAGUAGCUGGGAUUACAGAUGUGCACCACCAUGCCUGGCUAAUUUUUGUAUUUUUAGUAGAGAUGGGGUUUCACUAUGUUGGCCAGGCUCGUCUCGAACUCCCAACCUUGGGUGAUCUGCCCGCCUCAGCCUCCCAAAGGUCUUGGAUUACAGGCGUGAGCCACCAUGCCUGGCCUCAAAAUCUUUCAUACUUUUUCUUUGAGAACAGUCGCUAUUGUCCCCUUUUCCUCCCAAUAUUCAUUACCUUUCCCCAUUGAAACUAUUAAGCCAUAGAUAUGUGCUGUGUAUUCAUGUUUUUAUUGUCUGUCUCCCACCAUUAGAACACAAGCUCCAUGAGAGCAUAAAAUUUUAAAUAUCCUGGCACAUAGUAGUUAAUCAUGUUUUUAAAGGGUGAAGGAAUGCAAAUAUUUCAUAAUAUAUCUUAAUGUUUAUAUGUCUCUCUCUCUCUCUCUCUAUAUAUAUAUAUAUGUAUAUAUGUAUGUAUUUUUUUUGUGGGGGGGUGGGACAGGGUCUUACUUCCAUUGCCCAGGCUGGAGUACAGUGGCACAAUAAGGCUCACUGCUCCCCCAACUUCCCAGGCUCAGGUGAUCCUCCCACUUCAAUGUCCUGGGUAGGUGGAACUACAGGCAUGCACCACCAUGCCUAAGUAGUUUUUUAUAUUUUUAGUAGAUAUGGGAUUUCGCCAUGUUUCCCAGACUAGUCUCACACUCCUGGGCUCAAGUGAUCUGCCCACAUUGCCCUCCUACAUUGCUGGGAUUACAGGCAUGAGCCACCACACCCAACCCAUGGAUUUUUUAUUUUAGGGAAUAUUUUAUUGUCUGAUAUAUCAAUUCCUCUAGAAAGCCUUGACUGGCAUUCUCUCUGAAGUCCCAUAAUACUUUUCACAUACAAUUGUCUGCCUGUGGGCCUGUGACUGUCAGAAGAGUGAGUUCUUUGGAGUACAAGAAGAGAAUAACCAUUAGAAUUAAUAAAUAUGUAGCCACAAUAAAAUAUUCUGCCUCACAAUAAUUUCACCAAAGUUAGAAAAAGUACCAAUUUUAAAAAUUAAUUUAAAUGGGCUAUGUACUACUAUGAAGCAAGGUUGAAGGUAUUUCCCUAACUUAAAGUGAAAUAUGACAUAUUACAGAUUAACUUUGCAGCAUAUUUUCCAUGUAAGUUAUACAUUCUAUGAAACAGAUAAAGAGACCUGAUAACUAUUAAAAUCAGAGGAAAGAGGAUAAAGGCAUCACACAGGAGCAGAGUGUACAAUCAGAUGUAAAAUAAUCAGUGGACUAUAGAAAGGUGGCAUUUGAAAAGAAAUUACAAAUCAGUAGGAAUUAAUGGCUCUUUCUUUGCGAUAAUAUCUACUGAUUUGAUUACCAAGGAGAUUGUUAGACACAUGGGUUUUUAUGUCAGAGAAAUUUCUAAAAGAUGGUGAUAGCAAGCUUAAUACCAGCAUUUAAAGAAGUAUAUGUUGGAAGUAGGACACCAAAUAUAUAAUUCCUUGAUUUGAUGUAAAAAUAUUUAAUUUUCUAAGAACUAGGAUGCAAACUUAGUGUUACAAGGUUUGUAAAUGAUGUCAUUCUGUUCCGAAUUGUAAUAACAUGUUACAAGGUACAGUUAAGAAGAUGAUAUGUACCUAAAAUUAUUUGCAGGGUUUUUGGUCUAUUUAUAUUUCUGAGUAUCUUCCUUUUAUAUGUGUGGAUGCACACACACACAUACAUACAUACAUACACAUAAAACAGGUCACAUUAUAUAUUUAAAUGUAUAUCUAUUUGUAUGGAUUCACCAAAUUAUUUACUAGAUGGGUAAUAUAUGCUAAAUGUGAUAUGAAAACAUGAAGGGAAAUAAGACAGUUUGGCCCCAUAGGUACUUGGCGUCAGUGUCAGGAGAAGAAUAUGUUAAAAAGUACUAGAGGCCAGGCAUGGGGGCUCACACCUGUAAUCCUAACAAUUUGGGAGGCCGAGGGGGUGGAAUACCUGAGGUCGGGAGUUCAAGACCAGCCUGGCCAACAUGGUAAAACCCCUUCUCUACUAAAAAUACAAAAAAUUAGCCUAGUGCAGCGGCAUGCGUCUGUAAUCCCAGCUACUCUGGAGGCUGAGGCAGGAGAAUUGCUUGAACCCAGGAGAUGGAGGUUGCGGUGAGCCGAGAUCACACCACUGCCCUCCAGCCUGGGCUACAGAGUGAGACUUCGUCUCAAACAAAACAAAACAAAACAAAACAAAACAAAAAAGUAUUAGUGCAUGCAGUAAAUGAUCUUUGUUAGAUAUUUACAUAACAAUCUGCAAAGUCCAGGGAAAUGAGUGUUGGAUGAUAUUUACUGAAGGGUUUUUACUGCCUUUGUAGCAAAGAAGGCACAUGAAUGUACUCUCUAAGAAAGAGAAAGAACAUAGUUGUAUAGGGCAUACAAAAAAAAGUAAUGUUAAAUUAGAAAACAGCGCAUGCAAAGGCAUGAAGGAAUUCAAGAGUGAGGGACACUUGGAAAAAUCACAUGCAGAUCAGUAUGACUGCUUAUUUACAGAUAUGCACAGAUAUCCGAGAUUUAAAUAUAUGCAUGCGUAUUGCUUUCCAUUAUUCACAUAUUUAGAUACAUACUCUUCUCUAUUUUUUUCCUGAUUGUAAAAAGAAAAAAGCACUUAUUUUUCAGGGGCACACGAUGAAACCUGGCUACUUUCUUAAGCACCAAAGCAACAGAGCAAUAUAAUCCAACCUAAAAGGCACAGGACGCUCUACUCCUCAUCAUUACUCCAUGAAAUAGUUUGUCUAUUUGUGAGGAAGACAUUUCCCUUCUAAAUUGAGAUUCCAAACAGCUGUCAUAAAAUGGAGAUGCUUCAUGCUUGAAUUUUAUUUAUAUAUUUAGUUAAUUAUUAAUCAUAGUCACAGUUGUUAUUUCUUACUGUGUCCUGGGAGUAGGUGAUUCCCUACCCCUAUCCCAAGUUCAAAAAAAAAAAAUCAAAAUAGGGGAAUCAAAUUAAAUCAUGAUUUACUGGUUCCAGCUGUAUUCAGAAAAGCAUUUUUGUCAUUUUUUAAAAUUCUAAACACCUUAAAAAGCAUUUGCAUCUUCAAUGCUAUGGAAAGUCAUGUCUAUCUCUGCGGGCCAUAUUUGAUGGAAAUUUUUUCAGUAGGUCUGACAGCAGAGAACACAGUACUGUAGCUCACACCUCACCAAUGUAAUUUGGAGUGUUAAUUGGAAAGAACUUAGCUGCCCCUGUGAUUUCUGCUCUCUAAGAAUUGGUGACAAUAUGUCCCAUCUUUCCUUUCGAAGUCUAGUAGGCAGAAAAGAUGAGGAUUGUAGGGAAUUUGUCUGAAGAGGAAAGCCAUAGAGAAUGUGGCAGAGAGAAGAGAAAUGUAACCAAACCAAAAAAAUGAUUGCUUGGUGAAAAUAAAUGAAAACAAAUUGUAUCACUUCUGAAAUGAAAGUUUAAGCAAAUGAACUAGAGUGAUUAUGGCUAGUCAGCUUCUAGUCAUGAUUUUUUAAAGAUAAAGUCAAGAAGGAAACCUCAGAAGUUUUAUGACAGAAGAGUCAAGCAAAACAAAAAGAAAGGGACUUUUAGCUUCUCAACAGUAAGUCUAUGAGAAUAAAAGAAGCGGUUAAAUUCUCUUUGCAAAACACUGCUCUGCAUUCUGAAAAUAAUAGCUAACACAACUUAAAUAAAUGCAAAAUGUCAGUCACUGUUCUAAGCACUUUGCAAGUGCUUAACAAUGUAACCGCCUCAAAACUUUAUGGGACAGGUUACUAUUAUCACCGGUGUUUUCCAAGAAAAGGAAAAAAAAAUACAUAUAGGGCAAGUAAAUGUAAUAUCCUAUGGUAGCACAGCUAGCAGGUGAAGCUGGCUUCAUGAAGAGGCAGUAAUUUAUUACAGACACCUUGGCUUGAGGGGCUUCCUGUGAUUAAUUACUGUGAAGAAUCACUACUACGUCUCAAUUUUCUAAAAGAAGGACAGAAAGGCUCUUUAUGAAAAAAAAUAAAUGACCUAUUAGUUUAGCAAAACUGACAUGGAAUUGGAAUUGAGUCAUUUAAAAAUGUCAUCUAUUUGAAUACUGGCUAAGCUCUUGAUAACGUUAGACAUAGUGGAGGGCAUAGAUAUUGAAUGAGUAAGAGAUGGUACACUGAAAUUGACAUUGAUGCCUCAGUGGUAGCGAACCUUACCAUCUAUAAUAAGCCUCUUCACAAACCACCAAGUUGGACGGUUAAUCAACUUGUUAAUACAAUUGUAAACUUCUGGGGUCUAUGUAUUUCAUGUUUGAAUUCUCAGGACAAAAAUUCCUGCCACGUGAUUACCUAGCUUAGCUGGAUCAUCUUCUGUGACAGAGAUUACCUACCUUUCAGAGCAAAAUUUCAGUUCAAAUUUUGUAUUAAAUUGAACUGAAAUCAGUGGCCCUGUAGCAUUUAAAAUUGGACUCAAUUCUACCUCCGGUGAAUGAUUCUCCUAGGUAGAUCGACAUACCUACCUUAUCAUUGUCAUAAAAUAUUGGAUGUUUUCAGUUUAUAAAAUUAUCUUUAAUUAGUAGUUGAUGUAGCUGCAAAAAUCACCACUUAUCUAGUGGAAAAUGUGAAGUUAUUUGAAGUGCUGAAAGGUAUUUUUUCAAUUAAGGUAACCACAUUCUCACUUCUCAGUUGCAGCUUUUGAAGUGCAUCCAUUUUAUAUUUCAUCCUAUAAAUGAAGGCAAAGAGUGUUUUCAAAGAGAUAGAACAGAAAACUCGCUAAACAGGAUUGCUUUAUUUCCUAGAGUCAUGUCUUUCAAAUGGCUUCCUGUUAGGGAACUGUCUUUCUCAUCCAGCAAAUUUAGAUAUCAUCCAGACUAGAGAAGCAUGAGGAGAUUAAUUUCAAAAUUCUGUAAAAUAUAAUCUAGGAAUAGAAGUAAACAGCAAUUUCUGAGGCCUAGGGAAGGACAUUCUAAGCAAACUAAGAGUACAUGAGGAAACUGAGGUACUGGUGAUGAGGGAUGGGGCAGAAGAAGUCAUAAAUAGAGAAACAAAAGAAAUAGAAGAGACGCACCACAGCAUUUUUAAGCCCCAAGUGAACACUUUUAUCACUCAUAAAAGUAGCCUGUUUAAGGAGUAAAAAUUUACUCUGUGUAAAUGGCAUAGCAUAUGCAAACAGAAAUAUACUUGUUUAGAGAGUAUGCUGUGCAAAAUGAAAUAAGAAAUCGACAAUAUUUUUCUUGUAAGACUACUAUCACCACCAACUACUAAAUAGAUUGAGAAAUUAUUCCUACUCAUGGUCUUAAAUUUUUAUAGAUGUUCCUAAAAUGCUCAUUUAGCUCACCUCUGGUAACAGAUUGUACAGAAUGAUUUAUAAAUGGGGCUGAUUUCCAUAUCACUGAUGGAUGCUUUAUUCACUUAAUGAUCACUGGCAAGUGGCAGCUACUAUAAAAUUUCAAGUGUCACUAAUAGGACUUUUAGCUCUGACACUAUAAAAUAAAAUGUGUGAGCUUUUUUUUUUUUUUAAAGGCAUAAAGCCUAAAAAGCUUCAAAACCUAAACAAACAAACAAAAGACCUUCAUUUUUCAAGAUACUAAAUGUUUUAGACCUAAGAUGGUUUUUCCAAAUACAUGAUUACUGUAUUUUCAGGCAAUAAACCUGCAAGCCAAGAUGAAUAUAUUAAGGAUUGAUAGUACGCUAAGUUGCAUAUAAUUAGGAAAGAAACUUUGAAAUAAAAACAAAAAAAGAAACCUUCUCUUUUCCAAAACUGUCUGCAUAAAUAUUACAUCCAAGUAGCUGAUGCUUCAUUAUCAUAAUAACAACAAAAUGAAUGUUAUAUUCACUGUAUGACAGGUACUAGAUGUUAUUUUCACGUGUUUAUUUCACAUAUAUUGAAUUUAUGUAAUUUUAGAAAUUUGGAGUUAAAAAUCUUUUUCAAAUAUGCCCUUAAUAUAUCUUGCUGUUUUUGUACAGAGGAUAUGAAAAUAGGUGAUUUUAAAGGUCCGAGAGUCCAACUAAUGCAGUAAGUGAGAGGCUUUUGUCAAAUUGACUCAUCUAUCAGUGAGUUGGGGAGUUACACUGAGAGGGAUGGGUGCGUGCAUAGCCUUGUUUUUCAAUUUGAUAGAGGAUGCCAUGCACCUAAAUGUGUUGAGUGGCUCUUGAGGCCUCAGUAGUCUCAUCUGGGUACUGAGGCAGGUGGACAAGCAGCUCAAAGGACUGUGACAUCUCAUACAUUAAAUUUACAUUCUAUAAACCCAGAACUUAAAAUGGAAUAGGCACAAAUUUAAAACAGACAAAUAUACAAUGAACUGUCAUCUCCUUCAAAAAUCUGACCACCAUUGUUUUAUAACUGCAAUUAUUAGGGAGUAUACAGGGACUUGGUAUUAGAACUUGUGAGCAUCAGGUCCCAAAACACAAACCCGACCCCACUUUGUUUUCAGCACAGGGACUUGGUAUAGAACUUGUGAGCAUCAGGUCCCAAAACACAAGGCCAAGGCCAUUUCCUUGUUUUCAGCAUGCAUCUUAGCUAUGUCAGGCAAUGGUUAAAUAGCCAAGCGUGAUGGCUAUUUAAAGAUGUACUAGUAUUUAAAAAAAAAAAUUUUCUUUGCCCAUUUUCAAGAAAGAAAAAGACUUCCAAUCUGCCUUACUUUGCUCUAUUGUGUUUACUUAUCUGGAGCUCUUGUCACUUCAAUGGACUUUUUUUAUUUAUCACAUGUAUUGUUUAGUAUCUAUCUACUACAAUAAUAUAUAAGCUCUUUGAAAAAAGUGUUUCUUUCUUCUCUUUUCAUUACCAGUUUACCCUUAAUGCAGAGAAUAGUGGAUGGCUCAUAGUAAUUGAUUUAAGUAUAUAUAUUUUAACAGUCUCAUGUUCUGCUGACUGAGCCUGCUGGGCAUGAGUAUGAGGAUAUAUACUUCAAUAAAUAAAUGCAAUUUGUUCUAUAGCUAGUUUUCUUUGGGGAUCUAUAUGAGAGCAACACUUAUUCUUAAAUGUUUAACUUUAACAUAUUUUUUCUAUAUAGAUAGAUUUGCAAAUGUUGACAGGAUUGCCACAAAUACAUUAUCAAUGCAUUCUGAUAAAUACUGAUACUUUGUAGCAUAUUCUCAUUCAUAAUGAUAACCAGUGUUCAUAAUGAGUACUUUCUUUUACAAUCUGUUUGGAAGCCACCAGAAGUUUGUGUGUGUAUGUACCUUCCAUCUUUACCCUGAUCGUUACAUAUAUGAGGAAACAGGUUUGUAGAAGGUGCUAGGUAAGUGCAAAAUAAGCUGGAAUAAAACACAUAAGUGCUAGUGUAAUCAACAAUAUUUGUUCUUUUGUGCUUGGCUUAUUUCAUUUAGCAUAAUGUCUUUAAGGUUCAUUCAUGAUGUAGCUUUGUCAGAUUUUCCUGCCUUUUUAAGACUGAAUAAUAACCCAUUGCCUGUAUAUACCACAUUUUUUUUUAAAUUUAGCUUUCAUUUUAAGUUAAGAGAUACAUGUGCAGGUUUGAUAUAUAGGUAAAUGUGUGUCUUGGGGGUUUGUUGUACAGAGUAUUUCAUCAUGCAUUUACUAAGCCUAGUACCCAUUAGUUAUUUUUUCCAAUUUUCUCCCUCUUCCUAGCCUUCCAACCUCUGAUAGGCCCCAAUGUCUUUUGUUGCCCUCUAUGUGUUCAUGUAUUCUCAUCAUUUAGCUCCCACUAAUAAAUGAGAACAUGUUGUAUUUGGUUUU